UUCAUAUAAUAACUACAGUAUGGCUUGUAUAUACUAUAUACUGUUUGUCGAACGAUGCUUGCCUAGCGCAAUCCUCGUUCUAGAUAAGAAUAUGAUUGCAACAUGUGCUUUGGGUUGGGGAUCGCUUGCCAUCACCUACACCGAUUGCACACGAAUGUCAUGACAAACACAUUCAUCGCGUUGUUGUCACUGUGAAAUGCAUUUAGCGAGAAUUAGAAUGCAUUUACAGGGCUAGUAUGAGACAACGGUAAAACGUCUAUGUCAUUUGUAA
rnacentral:misc_RNA from 1 species